UUGUGGAAUAUUGCGCAAUGGGCGAAAGCCUGACGCAGCAACGCCGCGUGGGUGAAGAAGGCCUUCGGGUCGUAAAACCCUGUCAGAUGGGAAGAAACCUGCACUUGAUGCAGCUGACGGUACCAUCAGAGGAAGCACCGGCUAACUCCGUGCCAGCAGCCGCGGUAAUACGGAGGGUGCAAGCGUUGUUCGGAAUUACUGGGCGUAAAGGGCGCGUAGGCGGACUCUGCAAGUCUGAUGUGAAAGCCCGGGGCUCAACCCCGGAAGUGCAUUGGAAACUGCAGAGUCUUGAGUCUGGGAGAGGAGGGCAGAAUUCCCGGUGUAGGGGUGAAAUCCG
rnacentral:rRNA from 1 species